rnacentral:lncRNA from 1 species
AGUGCCAACAUUGCUUUGUCUCUCGCUGGAGAAGCCUGUGAGAAUGACGAUGGCCAAAGUGUCAGGCUCUUGGUGCAGCUGAAAAUCCUUUGAGAUGGAAGAAAUGGCUGGAACAAAGGGGCAGAGGAACAAAAAGCCCUGAACUGCUUCGCCCCUGCCUCGUAGGGUCUUUAUCAUCUUAAACCUUGGGAUUUGGGCUUUGAUCAACUCGGCCUUCCUGGGCCUCGGGGAGAGAGACGGACUGCCUCCGGGUGCUCAUGACCUUUCCAGCAGUAAGCCAAUCAUGUGUGACUCCUGCGUUGCCGUUGCUCGUUUGAGGCUCCCAUGACCAGAUCAUUGAACCGUUCUAGAGACUUCAAAUCCAUUGAGAUGGGAUUAAUGCCUUUGCCUACUCAGGCAGAGGACAGACUGACCAUUCCAAGUGUUCAUCAGCAUUUUCUGCUCUUAGAUGGAAAGGCCAAGGCCACCCCAAGCAUGCUGAAAUUAAUGGGCCAUCAUCAGGAAGGAGUUCACAACUGUAUAUGGAGCCAGAACAAAUGGAGAGACCUCGUUUAGUCGAUUGAUGGUAGCAACAAGG